rfam:Oryza rufipogon genomic scaffold, chr01
AAUAAGUGCAGUCAUGAGUUUCCGCGCCCAAUUUUAAUCGUCCGUCUUAUUUGAAAUUUUUUAUAAUUAGCAUUUUUGUUGUUAUAAGAUGAUAAAACAUGAAUAGUACUUUACUCGUGACUUAUAUCUUUAGUUUUUUUAAAAAAAAAAAUUUAAAUAAAACGAAUGGUCAAAGUUAGGCGCGGAAAACCAUGACUGCAUUUAUU